rnacentral:tRNA from 1 species
CAGGAGGUAGUUUAGUUAAAAUAUUAAUUUUGGGGAUUAAUGACAAGAAAAUUCUUUCUCCUGA